rnacentral:lncRNA from 1 species
AUGUUUCCUCUACCAGAAUUGGCGGGAGACAGCCAGCGCCCAGCCAGAGGGACCAGUCAAGACCCUUCGCACUCUCCACUCCCGUUGCCUGGAAUUGCUUCCCGAAGUACACAGCCUGCGCACAGCCCCGGCAGGCUCGGCCUUCCGGGAAGCCCGGGUUGGUCUGGAUUUGCCCGAGGACAGAUGCGCUUGCAGCGCAGUUCGGUGAUACAGAGUAAAGGGCACGUGGUGACCAAGGCAGAUGAACUGUCUCUCCUGUUGGGGUGUUAGACAGUAAACAACAGACACACACAAAUGAAUGUGUGGGAGUAUUCCCCGCCCCCCCGUUGUUCUUGAUAGGAAACAAAGAAAAACUGGAAACUUCAAAAUCACGGGAAAGGGGUUAAAUAAAUUGUAUGGCGUCCACCCCGUGGAUGAGCA